UGCUACACAUUCCUUUGUCUCAUGCCCUUCGGCACACUUCUCACACCUUUGAACUGCCCUCCUACACACUGCUGCCACAUGCCCAUAAGCUCGACACCUGUAACAUCGUAAUGUAUUCGGCACAAAAGCUCGUACAGGAUAACUUAUGUAUCCUAACGUCAAUUUGUCAGGCAAAGACUCACCACUCACGCCACCCAGUCUGCGUCGCACCAAACGACAAGCAUCACAAAUACCGGGAAUCUUCCCCUCAGUUGGUAAACUUUCACAUUUUCCGCUACCCCAGUAAUCACUCCUUUCAAUGGCAGCCUUUUCUUGAUAGCAAAACAAUUUCUUUCCCCCAUUAGUUUAACGCGGAGCGAAACUGCUCCCUCUGACCAGCAGAAACACAAUUAUCACAAGACCACUUUUUGUUACCCUCACCGAUUCCACAGCACCCAACUCUGAUUUCACCCACCCUGAAACCACAAAUGGAUCAGCCAAAAGGCAAGGGUCCACUUUUUCCACUCCCACUGUCAAGGAUUCUUCUUCAUCCUGACACUCGGUGCAAGCCUCGGGCUCCGAGAACUUCACCACACCUACCACCUCUGAUACUAAGCCCUCAUUCACUUCCAUUUCUCAUCCUGUCUCAAUCUCACUCUGCUAACACUUUCUACUAUUUUUCUUUAACAAACCGUCCCUCUUUUUACCCACCAUUUUUAACUGACUGGAGCUCACCAUCUUCCUCACUCUCCUCUGCCUCUCUUUUACCCUCCAUUCCUCCUCCAUAUUCCAAGUAUACGUCUCCUUAUGAUAAUACUGCACAUCUCCUGACCUACAUCUUGCUCAUUUAACCGGCUGUCACAAUCUACCUACAAUCAGCACGAACCCCUCGGGAUGUGGAGUUCAACAGUGCAUCACACUUAUAAAGCCACUGCUUCGUCUUGAUGUUCUUCUUUAUCAAUAUCUACCGCAACGCUUUUCCAUUUCAAACACGUUCACUCAUCCAACCACCAUCCACUGUCUCACUUCCUUUUCCGUCCACCUUCCCAAUCCCCUGAAUACUACUCCUGCAAACGCUGUACUAGAAGGAUCCCAACAAUGUGUACGCCACCAUUUUGUCUAUUUCAACUCUUCUCAUUGUUCAAGGCAGGUGAGUGUCAUCAUGACAUGCAGCACGUUGGGGUGGACACACACCUAUCUCAAUCAGUGAGGUGGUUUGAUUAAUCUCGCCCGGCUGCCCAUGUUAGCGUGUUUUGCAAUGACUGCAUUCUAUUUGACUGUGAGCCAAGUGCCCUGCUCUGUCUGAAGGUGAAGUCAGCUCAAAACAAAAGUGAGUAGACUAAUUAAGCACUUGUAGAAAUAAGUAGGAUUCUGUGUUUUUCCAUGCAGAAGUGGUUGCUUUUGAUAAACGCUUUAUCUGCCUUUCCAAUGAAAACUAGUUAGAAAAUGUGAAAAUAUAUUUGUUGGAAAAGAGAUGUUUCUGGACGAUGCACCAUGCUGCCUUAAUGACAAAAUGACCAAGCAGCACAGAUGAAUGUUUGUUUAAGAAGGGUGCUCCUCUAGGGUUGCCAACUGUCCCUUAAUAGCCGGGAUGUCCCUGAUAUUGGGAUAAAUUGAGUUGACCCAUACGGGACCUCCCUUGACCCGUAUAUUCAUCCAAUCACAGUAUAGCAUAAACGCGCCAAUUCCUGCUAAGUAAUUUCUGUUAUUGUUCAGUCGGUUUGGCAUAUCAAGGAAAUAUGGAUAAACCUGCAAAAAAGACUGUGCAGCUACAGCAAGCAAUGUGAAGCAAAAAAUACAUGGGUUAAACCCGUCAGUGACUCAACGAAAGCUUUCUGUACUUUAUGCGUCGGGAAUUCUCAAUUGGCCAUGGAGGGGAGAUUGACCGAACUCAGCAUGCAUCCACAGAAAUGCACAAGGCCAUGCUAGCUAAAGGUGCUAGCAAUAUCGGUGCAUUCUUCGUGACGCUACUGCGGAAAUUGGAAAACACCUCUCCGUUUACCAGUUAUUGAGCAGUGCCAACAAUCGCAUUCUGAAAGUUAAUUGCCCAGCUCACAUAGCUCAUAAUGCCUGCAAGCACGCCUGCGAUCAGCUGUCAGUGGAUAUUGAGACAAUCUUGCUUGUUUGUAGGUGACCAAAUACAUAUUUUCCACCAUAAUUUGCAAAUAAAUUCAUGAAAAAUCCUACAAUGUGAUUUUCUGGAAUUUUUUUCCUCAUUUUGUCUGUCAUAGUUGAAGUGUACCUAUGAUGAACAUUACAGGCCUCUCUCAUCUUUUUAAGUGGGAGAACUUGCACAAUUGGUGGCUGACUAAAUACUUUUUUGCCCCACUGUACAUGUAUUUCCGCAACAGAAUUAAAAAGUGAUUUUGGACUGACCAAUGUAGAUAGUUUCAAAUACAUGAAACUUAAAAGUUACAUAUCACAGAAUUUCAAUUUGAAUUAUUUUGGACAUCAGAGCAACCUUUAGGGAAUCUUAUCUGAGUCAAAAAGGAUGUUCAUAUGAUAGGGAAGAUAUACAAAACCAUGCAGAGAGCAUUUCAAACUGACAGUCUCUUAGGAAAAAAUAUAAACUAUUGAAACCAAGAUUUACAAAUAAUUGAUGUUGGCACAAGAUGAAGGGAAAGUUAGAGCAUAACUAACGAUAUUACAGUUAACACAAUGUACUUAAUCCAGUAUAAACUAAUGUAUAGAAUGUAUUAUACAAGAGACACAAUUUUACAAAUUAUACAGCACAACAGGCAGUCAUGUUUCAUGUGUAAAACUCAUAAUGACUCAAUAAUCCAAGCUUUCUGGGAAUGCUAUAAAGUCUGGAAGUUGUGGGCAGAGCUAUAAAGUUUGCUGUCAGAAGUAUUACAAGGUAAACUUACUUUUAAUCCAUCUGUCUGCAUAUUUCAAGACAUGGAAUAUGGGGGUGUAGUGAGAUACCCAAUGGUCUGGACGAUUCUCUUCUCAUCACUGAUCUUGAAAAAAUGUAUACUAAAAACUUGGAAAUCAAUCAAUCUGCCAUCAUUGACACAAUGGAAAAAUCGAAUGAUUUAUUAUUGAAAUAUUGAAAUGGCAUGGGCGACUGAGAAAAACAAAUUGGUACAAUUUCAAGGCCAAGUGGCAAACAAAAAUGCAGAUGAGUGUUUUUGGAGUGAAAAGAAAGUGUGGGGGGUAAUUUGAAAAAGGCAGUUAAGAGUUGUAACAUUAGAAUGAGUGUUGAAGGGGAGCAUGGAUAGGCUAAAUGUAUUGUCAAAAACAAAACACAAACAUACAAGGAUCCCUGACGAAUCAAGAAAAACUUCACAUCCAUAUUGGGGGGAGGUCUCUCUAUCUACCUCGCUCCCUCUGUCUCUCUCUCUCUCUCUCUCUCUCUCUAUCUGUCUCUCUGUGUCCCAGUUGUCAGACAGUGGGGAGAGCCAUGUGGCCAGGACUCACGAGGGCUAUGCAGCAGUGUCUGUUCUCUCAGAAGGAGGUGCCUGGGAUACUGGGUGUUAUCUUUCCUCCUCUACCAGCCAAGCCUCAGGAGCUUCUGGACAUCAGAACUGGGAUUACUCACCUCAAAUUGGAUGAGGAGUUCUUCAAUGAGUCGGACGCGAGGGAUAUACUACGGACACCCGACCAGGCCCCGAUCCCCGUGAUUCGCUGGAAAAGGAAACACAGGUUUCGCGGAAAGAGAUCAGGAUGCCUUAGUCGUGGCUGAACGACGACAUUAAGAACAUACAGCUGGCGGGUUAAGCACUCUUUCGGCAGGACAGAACAGCAGCCUCUGGUUUCUUGGCCAUGGGCAAGGACUGGCGUACGUACUGCAUGGCAUUGGAGACCUACGUAUCUCCAGCAGCUGGGAGCACACACCACGCUCAGCAAGAACAAAUGCCUGGAACACAUUAUUACCACCAAACGCCCUUCUUCUCCAGCUGUUUAAUCCUAAUCUCUUCUCAAUGUUCUACCCUUUCCUUUUCAUUUUAUUGGUCAAAUCACCUCAAUGUGUUUGACUUGUGUCUGUUCUGGUGGGUUUUCACCAAUAAUCCCCUGUUGGAUUUAGAGUUACAACUUGCCAUUUCCUGUUGUAUUUGUUGUACUUCGUAACAUGGUAAACUUAGUAGCUAGGGAUAAUAACUCAAUAAUAAAGAUUCCACACAAUGUUUAAGAGACAGGCAAAAACAGUUAAUUCACACUUGUUUUGUGGAGUUUAUCAGCAUAGGGUUAGCAACAUCCACAAGGUUAGCCACUUGCCCAUGGGCUACAUAUAGGCUACUAAAUAUGUUUACUUCGUGUUAGUCGCUUUGGAUAAAAGUGUCUACUACAUCAGCAUGUUAAUAUUAUCAUCUUUAAAAGGAAAAGUCACAGACAUGUUAGUGCUGAGAAUGAGGACAUCAAAAACAGAUCUGAUAAGUGCAUUUGGAAAGUAUUCAGACCCCUUGACUUUUUCCACAUUUUGUUGCGUUACAGCAUUAUUCUAACAUUGAUUAAAUAAUUCUUCCCCUCAUCAGUCUACACACAAUACCCCAUAAUGAAGAAGCAAAAACAGGUUUUUAGCUUUAAAAAAAACCCUGAAAUAUCUGUAUAUUUGUAUAUUGCAAAAUAUACUGUAGAUGGCCAUCUGUUUGUGGUCUGUGGGAGCGUGCUGAAGUAAGUAAUUGGAAAAUCUGACUUUGUCAAAUGGAGAUACUGUCUGUACAGAAACAUACACACUUUAACAUGACAUUCCCUGUUAGUUGUGCACUUUAAAAGCAUAUGCUUCAUUUGAUGACAUUGCGAGAGUGCUUUUCUUGUUCAGGAAUGCAACAAUUUGUGAUUUGUCCAUUAGACCAAAGAGGAAGUAGCUAACUGACUGGUUUCGACAAUAGGUUGUUUUUACAAAGAUAGUUGGCUGUAACAAACUUAGGCUUAAAAAUACAAACAUUUUACAUUUUUGUUGUCAACUUCAAGGAUUAUGAAUUCUUCAAGGUGUACCAGCUAUUUGGCAGAAAUAUAAGAUUCAUAUGUUAAAAUGGGUGAUAUAUCAGUUUGAAUAGCCACCAAUGAAACCUCUUGCAAUAGUGAUUGCGAAAGAUGUUUCCAUACACAUCAAACCACAUCUCCCUUUUUUUUAAAUGGCUGAAGUCAUCCGUCUCUAUUACAAAACAGCAAUAUAAAAAGGGAACUAGGUAAAUCACAAGCCAUUCAAGGCAC